AUUGAACGCUGGCGGCAGGCUUAACACAUGCAAGUCGAGCGGGGUGAUGGUGCUUGCACUAUCACUUAGCGGCGGACGGGUGAGUAAUGCUUAGGAAUCUGCCUAUUAGUGGGGUACAACAUCUCGAAAGGGAUGCAAAUACCGCAUACGUCCUACGGGAGAAAGAAGGGGAUCACUUGUGACCUUGCGCUAAUAGAUGAGACUAAGUCGGAUUAGCUAGUUUGUGGGGUAAAGGCCUACCAAGGCGACGAUCUGUAGCGGGUCUGAGAGGAGGAUCCGCCACACUGGGACUGAGACACGGCCCAGACUCAGACGGGAGGCAGCAGGGGGGAAUAUUGGACAAUGGGGGGAAGCCUGAUCCAGCCAUGCCGCGUGUGUGAAGAAGGCCUUAUGGUUGUAAAGCACUUUAAGCGAGGAGGAGGCUCUUUUGGUUAAUACCCAAGAUGACUGGACGUUACUCGCAGAAUAAGCACCGGCUAACUCUGUGCCAGCAGCCGCCGUAA
rnacentral:rRNA from 1 species